AUUGAACGCUGGCGGAAGGCCUAACACAUGCAAGUCGAGCGAGAGGCGGAGGGGUGAGGAAUGUGUGGGAAACUGCGCGAUGGAGGGGGAGAACUACUGGAAAAGGUAGCUAAUAACGCAUACAAUCAGAUGUGCCACGAUGGGAUUAGCUGGUAGGUGGGGUAAAGGCGCACAUAGGCGACGACCCCUCGCUGGUCUGAGAGGAUGACCAGCCACACUGGGACUGAGACACGGUCCAGACUCCUACGCGAGGCAGCAGUGGGGAAUAUUGCACAAUGGGCGCAAGCCUGAUGCAGCCAUGCCGCGUGUAUGAAGAAGGCCUUCGGGUUGUAAAGCACUUUCAGCGGGGAGGCGUUACCCGCAGAAGAAGCACCGGCUAACUCCGUGCCAGCAGCCGCGGUAAUAC
rnacentral:rRNA from 1 species